AAUGAACGCUGGCGGCGUGCUUAACACAUGCAAGUCGAACGAGGCGGAGGGGGGCAACUCCUUCCAGCCGAGUGGCGGACGGGUGAGUAACACGUGGGUAACCUGCCCGGAAGUGGGGAAUACCUCGGGGAAACUCGAGCUAAUACCGCAUGACAUCUUCGGGACGAAAGUCCUGACGAUCAAAGCGGGGUCGCAAGAUCUCGCGCUACCGGAUGGGCCCGCGCCCGAUUAGCUAGUUGGUGAGGUAACGGCUCACCAAGGCUUCGAUCGGUAACCGGCCUGAGAGGGCGAUCGGUCACACCGGAACUGAGACACGGUCCGGACUCCUACGGGAGGCAGCAGUGGGGAAUCUUGCGCAAUGGGCGAAAGCCUGACGCAGCAACGCCGCGUGGAGGAUGAAGGCCCUUGGGUUGU
rnacentral:rRNA from 1 species